rnacentral:piRNA from 1 species
UGAUCUAGAGAAGACACCUCGGUGAC